CGGGUGAGUAUCGCGUGGGUAAUCUACCUUGAGGUGGGGGAUAGCCUCGGGAAACCGAGGGUAAUACCGCAUGAGUCCUCAAUGACAUAAGUCGAUGAGGGGAAAGGCGGGGCUCCUUCGGGACCUGUCGCCUCUAGAUGAGCCCGCGUCCGAUUAGCUAGUUGGUGGGGUAAAGGCCUACCAAGGCAACGAUCGGUAGCCGGCCUGAGAGGGUGAACGGCCACAUUGGGACUGAGACACGGCCCAG
rnacentral:rRNA from 1 species